AUUGAACGCUGGCGGCAGGCCUAACACAUGCAAGUCGAGCGGAGCGGCGGACGGGUGGGUAAUGCCUAGGAAUCGGCCUGGGAGUGGGGGAUAACGUCCGGAAACGGGCGCUAAUACCGCAUAAUAUCAGAUGAGCCUAGGUCGGAUUAGCUAGUUGGGGGGGCAAUGGCCUACCAAGGCGACGAUCCGUAACUUGGCUGAGAGGAUGAUCAGUGACACUGUAACUGAGACACGGUCCAGAGUCCAACGGGAGGCAGCAGUGGGGAAUAUUGGACAAUUGGCGAAAGCCUGAGCCAGCCAUGCCGCGUGUGUGAAGAAGGUCUUCGGAUUGUAAAGCACUUUAAGUUGGGAGGCGUUACCAACAGAAGAAGCACCGGCUAACUUCGUGCCAGCAGCCGCGGUAAUUC
rnacentral:rRNA from 1 species